GAUCUUACUGUAGGGUUUGUUUUGUUUUUCUCUCUUACAGAAAUAGUUUUGUAUCCAGAUUUUUUCCCGAGAUGCAAAAGGCAUCUUUGUAUUAAUGUUCCCAGUGCCUUUCUCCUUUCUAGAUCUCAUUUUAUUGAGAAGUUAUCUAACAUAACUAACUAAAAUCUCUUAGUAUGAGGGAAGCCCAAAGGUUCCAGGAUACAUGCCACCAUUAAAGUUAAAAAGUGAGCUAGUGGCUCAACUCCAGUGCCCAGUGGAUACAGGAUGGAGGUGGACAGGACAGAGAUGGCAUCUGACAAGGGACAGCAGAGGCUGCAGACCCUCCAGGCAUAGAUUUCUCUAGGGCAGUGGUUCUCAACCUGUGGGUCAAGACCCCUUUGAGGCAUCAAAUGGACCUUUCCCAGGGGUUGCCUAAGACCAUCGGAAAACAAAAGG
rnacentral:lncRNA from 1 species